rnacentral:rRNA from 1 species
CAGCCGCCGCGGUAAUACGUAGGUGGCAAGCGUUGUCCGGAAUUAUUGGGCGUAAAGGGCUCGCAGACGGUUUCUUAAGUCUGAUGUGAAAGCCCCCGGCUCAACCGGGGAGGGUCAUUGGAAACUGGGAAACUUGAGUGCAGAAGAGGAGAGUGGAAUUCCACGUGUAGCGGUGAAAUGUGUAGAGAUGUGGAGGAACACCAGUGGCGAAGGCGACUCUCUGGUCUGUAACUGACGCUGAGGAGCGAAAGCGUGGGGAGCGAACAGGAUUAGAUACCCGCGUAGUCCCUGUCUCUUAUAC